rnacentral:lncRNA from 13 species
CCUCUAAGAUCGCACUUGUCUCUUUAACUAUUUCAAAUGUUCCAAUGUUGUCCACUCAGUGUUGGUUGGGAUAUUGACUCUUGAUCUGUCUAUUUGCUGAUUCAUCUAGUCUUUGGUUAGAUUUUCAUCUCUGUUAAAAUUUCUUUUGUUUUCUUUCCUUUUUUUUUUUUUUUUGAGACAGUCUUGCUCUGUCACCAAGGUUGGAGUGCAGUGGCACGAUCUCAGCUCACUGCAACCUUCAUCUCCUGGGUUCAAGCGAUUCUCCUGCCUCAGCCUCCCAAGUAGCUGUGACUACAAGUGCACCCCACAAAGUCUGGCUCAUCUUUGUAUUUUUAGUAAAGAUAGGGUUUCUCCAUGUUGACCAGGCAGUGAGCUGAGAUCACACCACUGCAUUCCAGCCUCGGUCAUAGAGUGAGACCCUGUCUCGAAAGAAAGAAAGAAAGUGAGAGAGAGAGAGAGAGAGAGAAAGAAAGAAAGGAAGGAAGAAAGAAAGAAAGAAAGAGAAAGAGAAUGGAAUGAAAGAAAGAAAAGAAAGAAAGAAAGAGAAAGAAAAGAAACACAUCGGCCACCAUGUAGCUAAACCUUGCAAACAUUAUACAAAAUGAAAGAAGGCUGACACACCCAAGUCUGUUGAAUCAGCUUUGGAGCCGACACUCCACUCUCAAAGGAAGUAAAGAAUCCAGGGGCCAAAAGGAAAUCUUUGCGGGACACAGAAAAACACUGGCACUGGCUGACUUGGAGAAUCCUGGAAAUUCAAACCAUGAAAGGUUCCCGGCGCCCAAGAAGCCCCAGUGAUUCCUGCACAGUAUCCAGGAGCGACCACGCAGGAGCGAGCAGCUCCUCCAGCACACAAUCAAAUGCCCCCAAACGCCAGAAAGUGGAGGAGCUGGAUCCUCAGCCAGGUGCAGAACCAGCUCCAGUGCAGCCAGGUCCCCAUCACCCUGCACAGCUGCCCCUGGAACCGCUCCAGGGCCCACAGCUUCCCCAGAGGAAGGUGAUCAUCGUGGUCUUGGAACCAGGAAUAGUCCUGCGCCUGAGCCUCGGAGAGGAGGUCCUGGUGCUGGACCCAGAGGGAGCCCUGCAAUUCAGCCUCCUCAAUGUGCUCCUCCUGGUGGUCCCUGAGCAAGCCUUGGUGUCCUUGAAGGUUCUCUCGUACCUCGCCCAGGCCCGCUGGCUCCUGCUUGGGAGUGCAGAGACUGUCUGGCAGAUUGACAUUGAAAAUGCAUCUGUGAGAGUCGAGAGAGCAGAGUAUGAGUGUGCCGCGCCUUCAGUAGAAGAGGGUGAGGCUCCUCAAGGCUACCUGCCCACGAUGGGACCCCCAUCAAACCUCGUGCAUGGAAUCAGCCCUCCUUCCCGGCACAUCCUCUACCUCAAACCUUACUAUGGAGCGCCUGUCCCCCAGGGCUCAUCCCAGAUGCCCAAGCCUGGUCCCUUGAGACGGGCUCUGCUUGAAGAACUCCAGUUGGAUCUCCAUGUCCUGGAGUUCUCACCCAGUCAAGGGCCCAGAAUCUACCAUGGGGUUCUACGGAGGCCCAAGUGCACGGCCCGAAGACGUCUCUUCUAAGGCUGAUGGGCCAGGAACCCUCAGGCCCCAGACAGGAAUCCGAGAAGUUCUAUUCAGAAUCAAGCACACCUGCUUUUUCAUGGUUUCCCUGCACCUUGGAGGAGAGAGACGCUGCACAGAAAUGCGUUGUCUUUUACCCUGAAACUCUGUUCUGCUUAGAUGCUCUUGAUUUGUAUAAAAGAACAACCUUGAGAUUGGGGAAGAAACUAUUUGCAAAUCUCGUACACAUGCAUGGACUACUCAUACUCAGAGUACAAAAGGAAUUGUCAAAACUCCAAUAGAACAAAUGUUUCUGUUCAAAAGCCAGCACAAUGAAUGAACAGACAUUUCCUCCAAGGGGAUGUAAAAGACCCACUUCAAAAAGUGUUCAACAUCCCUCCCCUGGGGAAAUGUGCAUCGAAUAUGCCUUGAAAUCCAACCAAGAAGCUCGUAGAGAAGCCGCCGUGACCAUGACUGCCCAUCCCAAGGGCUGCAGAACAUGUGGAGAAGCUGGAACACUCUGAUGGUGCUGGCUGGAAUCCGAAUGGGACCACCGUCAGGGCUGAAACAGUUUUACUGAUUCAUAAUCAAUGAAAUAGGCACUUAGCAUUGGAACCAUCUUUCCCACCUUGAGAUGGUUGUUCUAAAGAAAUUAGAGCUCACCUUGCCAAAGUGAGGGCAGAGGUUUCUAGCGUCUGUCUCCACCAUCACCAGAAGAUGGAAGGGACUUUAAAGUCAUUCAGCAGUGGAUAGAAACAGGAACAGUGACCCAGUCUUUCAAUGGGGUGCAAUUCAGCAAUAAAUGGGAUGGGAUUUUUGUUUGUAAAUUUAGU